CUGUCAUGUAGAUGGGGUAUCUCUCAUCAUCCACAUCUCCAAGAACUGAGAGGAUAUCAGCUUUAGACGGUUUUGGUAGUUGAGCUGCUUUUCUUUCCCUGCUUAUAGAGUUCUCAUCUUGAACCUUUGGAGAAAAAGCAGAUACAUGUUUGCAUGGAAGAAAGGCUUCAUCCCAACCUCGUGAACCGAAACUCUGUUCCUUGAUGCAGUUUCAACAUUCAGGAUCUUACGUUUUCCCACAUCAACCAAAUUAUAGCUAUGGCCAACUGAAGCUUCUGAUAAACGAAUUCGCUGAAAGACCCAGAAGCCAUGGAAUCAAAACCAAGCAGACAAGCAGUAUAUAUUUUAUGCUCAACUUGAAAUUUUGAUUUACAAGCUGCCUACACUCAGUGCAUCAUCAAGGCUGGUUGCUUCAAGCAGAUCUCGAGAAAUAAAGUUCCGUGCAAUGCCACCAGGCACAAUUUCACUUUCAGAUGGAGGUACAGAAUUUAGAGUGAAUGCCUGAAGGAACAGUGUAUAGAAGGAUCUAUAUUCAGUUAAAAAUUUUACUCUAUGAGUAGUAUCUCUGGUAAUUAACCAUUACUUGCUUCCAAUGAAGUUCCAUAUGAAUCAAGCAGAGGUGACAGUACCAUUCCAUUGCUGUUGAAUCCAAAUGCACAACUUGGGAGUUCGCCAGCAUAUGUGUAAGCAGUGAACUGUAGUCCAGUUGACAGUCUUCCCUUGAUCAGAUACCUGCGAAGGCACAGUACAAAUUAGUCGAAAGCUCUUGCCAUUGAUUUGUAACAGUUGGAUCAGCCAAAACAUGCAACGAUUGUUGGCUAAUUAUCUCUCAUCCUAUGUGUCUAGAAUCACAUAGUGUAUUAGUUAAACAAAAUGGUCCAGCUAAAAACUGUUCUGGUUAGUUGAUAUUAUUAUCUUCUUUUAUGUUAGCCUCUGAACUAUACACCAAUCCAACAGUGUUUAUGAGUUGAAGCA